rnacentral:lncRNA from 1 species
AACAGGGGAGGCCAACCCGAGGCGCCGGCCGCGCAGCCGGCUUCCCCCGCGCUCCUCUGCCUCUCCUCCCUCUUGCCCGCCUCUCUCCGCGCCGCCUCAGCAGCCUCCCGAGCAGCAGCCCCGGCCCCGGGCCGGCCCGUCUCGCCACACCGCCAGCCUCCGCUCCCUGAGCCGCUGCUUCAUCUCACUGCAGCCCCGCAGCCCCCGGCUCGCUCUCGGCAGCCUCGCUCGGCUUCCUGCACCCGCACCGCCCUCGGAAGCCCUCUCCUUAGAUCCAGCUCCGCGCGAGGAAGCGACCCGACCUAGCAGGAACGGUGCCAAUAUAGCCACCCCGGGCCGGGCGAGCGCGGGGAGAGCCCGCCCCCAGGGGCCGGGUCCGGCCAAUCAGCGGGAGGCGCGGCCCGGGCUCGCCCUCCGCGCGCAGCCCGCCCUCCGGCCCCCGGCCGCACGCGGAGUGCGGUCCCCGCGGGCUCUGGCUGUGGGCGUGCAAAGUGGAACAAGAAUAGAGAUAGAGAUAUGCCCACCUCUUGGGAUUGGUUCAUCACAGCUUGGAGUGGAAAAAGAGCUAAUACUUUGCUUUGAGUCCUGCACCUCUAGAAAAACACAGUCAUGCUGCAAGGAAAUGCUUAAAGAAGACAGAGGAGGAGAGAAGCCAGAGGGGGCCCAUCGCUGUCUGGAAUGGCGGACCCAAAGAGGGAAUAUCAUGGCUACACCCAGCAAAGGACUAACUGAAAAGCUGUUGUGUCAAAGGAGACGGGAGAUUUUCCUCAGACUUAAGUGGUGUAGCAGAUGA